UACGUAGGGUGGCAAGCGUUGUCCGGAUUUACUGGGCGUAAAGGGAGCGUAGGUGGAUAUUUAAGUGGGAUGUGAAAUACUCGGGCUUAACCUGGGUGCUGCAUUCCAAACUGGAUAUCUAGAGUGCAGGAGAGGAAAGUAGAAUUCCUAGUGUAGCGGUGAAAUGCGUAGAGAUUAGGAAGAAUACCGAGUGGCGAAGGCGACUUUCUGGACUGUAACUGAC
rnacentral:rRNA from 1 species